rnacentral:rRNA from 1 species
UCGAGAAUUUUUCUCAAUGGGGGAAACCCUGAAGGAGCGACGCCGCGCGGAGGAUGAAGGUCUUCGGAUUGUAAACUCCUGUCAUUAGGGAACAAAUCUUCCGGUUAACUGCCGGAAGGCUGAUAGUACCUGAAGAGGAAGGGACGGCUAACUCUGUGCCAGCAGCCGCGGUAAUACAGAGGUCCCAACCGUUGUUCGGAUUCAUUGGGCGUAAAGGGUGCGUAGGCGGCGGGGCAAGUCAGGUGUGAAAUCUCGGGGCUCAACCCCGAAACUGCACUUGAUACUGCCUUGCUCGAGUACUGGAGAGGAGACUGGAAUUUACGGUGUAGCAGUGAAAUGCGUAGAUAUCGUAAGGAAGACCAGUGGCGAAGGCGAGUCUCUGGACAGUUACUGACGCUGAGGCACGAAGGCCAGGGGAGCAAACGGG